GCUGGGAUAGUAUAGCGGUUAGUAUAGCGGGUUGUGGUCCCGCUGACCCGGGUUCAAAUCCCGGUCCCGGCC
rnacentral:tRNA from 1 species